rfam:Gillisia sp. Hel1_33_143 genome assembly, chromosome: I
GAUUUGGUAGCUCAGUUGGUAGAGCAUCUCCCUUUUAAGGAGAGGGUCCUGGGUUCGAGCCCCAGCCAGAUCA